UACGUAGGAGGCAAGCGUUGUCCGGAAUUACUGGGCGUAAAGCGCGUGUAGGUGGUGGGACAAGUCUGCUGUGAAAGCGCCUGGCUUAACCGGGCGAGGUCGGCGGAAACUGUCCGACUCGAGGACGGUAGAGGGGGGUGGAAUUCCCGGUGUAGUGGUGGAAAUGCGUAGAGAUCGGGAGGAACACCUGUGGCGAAGGCGGCCCUGGCCGUGC
rnacentral:rRNA from 1 species